CACCAAAGCCUUUUGUCAGGGUGAUACUCGUUGGUCUACUUAGAUCGACACCUACCUAAAAUGUUGCCUGUUACGUCUUUGGAAGAAUAAUGCUAUCCGCCCGUGUUCCUGAUCGCUCGUUUUGAGAAUCAGUUUUCUUUUCGUUUUGAAUCGAGAUUUGUUCACAUCUUUAUCAGCGUUUUGUUGAUAUUCCUUAGGUUAGCGACGGAGUCUUAUUGAGUUGAAACUUUUCUUUAUCUUAUGAUAAACCAAUGAAAUGUUUCGUAGUAUAGAAGCCGACAUCU
rnacentral:snoRNA from 1 species